CCUCCGCACCCCUUCUCCCCAACGUCCCUCCGCCCCGGAACCUCAGUGUCCACCCUGACGCGGUCCCACCCUCAAACCACUAGCCCUUAUCUCCCGUGAGAACUGCAGAACCACUCCCCUUCCUGCCCACCUCUUCUCCUGGUUUACAGAUGAGGACAUCAACCUGCCAUUUGGAGUCAGACAUCCUGGGGGUGAGUGGUGACGUCCCACUCUCCAGCUUCUUGCAGCUCAGAGAGUGGUCGUGGGAGCAUCAGCGCCUGGGAGCCAGUUAGAAAAGCCCAACGGUGGCCCCGCCCAGACCUGCUGAGUCCGAACCUGCGCUUCGACAAGUUUCCCUGCGAGCUUCUCGGGCACAGUGAAGUUGGAGAAGUUGAGUGCCGGGCCGCUCUCCCGCAUCCGCAGGUGCAGAACAGAGAAAAGACAGGAUCAAACAUUCUUCUACCUGCCCAGACGAUGGCUUCUUCAGUGAAGCACACAGCCACUGUCCAUUUCCAGAGAAACUACCACUUCAUCAGCAAAAUACUUAGUGACAGUGUGUUGGCAGACAUUUGUUCAGUUGUCACAACAGGUAGAAUGCAAGUUCUCAGACAACAAAGUCCAGUCCUUAAGGGUCCAUCAACAAAGACUAGAAGCUAAACUUUUUCAAAUAGAGGAACAACACCAGGAAAAGAAGAAGAAAUCCCUGGAAAGCACAGAUUUGUUCAACAUUGAAUUUAAAAUGUUAUGUGGAAGUAUAGAAGUGGAUGUGGAGAAAAUUGUAGCUGAAAAGGCACAGGCAGCGGAACAAGCCCGCCAGCGGCAGAGAAGGGGAGAAAGAGGCAGCAGAGAAAGCUGAAUGCAGCCGGAGAAGGAUUGUUCUCGAGGAAGAGCCAGUGACUGAUAAAACCAAAGGAAAAGAAGAAGGCAAGAACAUUCCAAAAGAGGUAGAGGAGACACAACUUGAAGAAACGACAGAAAGCCAACAAAGUAGUGAAGAAGGCAUAUCUGCUCCUGAGGCUAAAGCAAGCGGAUAGGAGGGGCAGCAGUGUGGCAGGGGACAGAGCCAGUGGCAGUAACACCGCGUCUGAGUGCAACAGUGCCAUAGCCAGGGAGCCACCGACAGAUCCCAUCACAGAAGA